GUUGUACAUAUCGAACCCUUUUUAUGUCCUCCAGUAUCAAUGAGCUAUUGAGUACACCGGUUUUCAUUUAGCCAUAAUUAUCAUCUCUUAUCAAGUGAUCUUAAUCAAGAAACCUUGAAAGUGACAGGAGGUAGAAACAAAUAGAAGCCGUGGUAGGUAGAAAUAAAAUCCUUGCUUUAUGCUUUCAUGGAAUAAAUUAGUCCCAAUAUAAUAGGACGUCAACAUUUGCAGAGUAAUAUUAGUAAAUAGGAUAAACUCAUUUCCUAACGAGUCUAGGUUUAGGAAUUGCCAGACACUUCAUUUGAUGAAGAAAAAGGAAGUUCUGAUUACUCUCCGAACCCAUAUCCUAACGAGUCAACUUGAAUUUCCCUCUGAUAUUUCCUUUCGUCAUUUUUACACAGACAAGUAAGAAAGA
rnacentral:misc_RNA from 1 species